CUAAUACAUGCAAGUCUAGCGGACAGAUGGGAGCUUGCUCCCUGAUGUUAGCGGCGGACGGGUGAGUAACACGUGGGUAACCUGCCUGUAAGACUGGGAUAACUCCGGGAAACCGGGGCUAAUACCGGAUGGUUGUUUGAACCGCAUGGUUCAGACAUAAAAGGUGGCUUCGGCUACCACUUACAGAUGGACCCGCGGCGCAUUAGCUAGUUGGUGAGGUAACGGCUCACCAAGGCGACGAUGCGUAGCCGACCUGAGAGGGUGAUCGGCCACACUGGGACUGAGACACGGCCCAGACUCCUACGGGAGGCAGCAGUAGGGAAUCUUCCGCAAUGGACGAAAGUCUGACGGAGCAACGCCGCGUGAGUGAUGAAGGUUUUCGGAUCGUAAAGCUCUGUUGUUAGGGAAGAACAAGUGCCGUUCAAAUAGGGCGGCACCUUGACGGUACCUAACCAGAAAGCCACGGCUAACUACGUGCCAGCAGCCGCGGUAAUACGUAGGUGGCAAGCGUUGUCCGGAAUUAUUGGGCGUAAAGGGCUCGCAGGCGGUUUCUUAAGUCUGAUGUGAAAGCCCCCGGCUCAACCGGGGGAGGGUCAUUGGAAACUGGGGGAACUUGAGUGCAGAAGAGGGAGAGUGGGAAUUCCACGUGUACGGGUGAAAUGCGUAGAGAUGGUGGAGGAGCACCAGUGGCGAAAGCGGACUCUCUGGUCUGUAACUGACGCUGAGGAGCGAAAACGUGGGGAGCGGAACAGGAUUAUAUACCCGGGUAGUCCACGCCGUAAACGAAUGAAUGCUAGAUG
rnacentral:rRNA from 2 species